rnacentral:rRNA from 1 species
GAUGAACGCUGGCGGCGUGCCUAAUACAUGCAAGUAGAACGCUGAAGCUUGGUGCUUGCACCGAGCGGAUGAGUUGCGAACGGGUGAGUAACGCGUAGGUAACCUGCCUCUUAGCGGGGGAUAACUAUUGGAAACGAUAGCUAAUACCGCAUAAAAGUCGAUAUCGCAUGAUAUUGAUUUGAAAGGUGCAAAUGCAUCACUAAGAGAUGGACCUGCGUUGUAUUAGCUAGUUGGUGAGGUAACGGCUCACCAAGGCGACGAUACAUAGCCGACCUGAGAGGGUGAUCGGCCACACUGGGACUGAGACACGGCCCAGACUCCUACGGGAGGCAGCAGUAGGGAAUCUUCGGCAAUGGGGGCAACCCUGACCGAGCAACGCCGCGUGAGUGAAGAAGGUUUUCGGAUCGUAAAGCUCUGUUGUAAGAGAAGAACGAGUGUGAGAGUGGAAAGUUCACACUGUGACGGUAACUUAACAGAAAGGGACGGCUAACUACGUG